UCCUCGGUAGUAUAGUGGUUAGUAUUCCCGCCUGUCACGUGGGGGGCCGGGGUUCGAAUCCCCGCCGAGGAG